AAAACCCCUGGAAGCCAGCCCGUCGCGUGCAUGAUGACGGCCCUCUGGGUGGUAAACUCUGUUGUUAUGGAGAACCAUACCUUAGGAAAUGAACGUACCUUGACGGUACCUUAUUAGAAAGCCCCGGCUAACAACCUGCCCCACCCGCAUAUAAUAA
rnacentral:rRNA from 1 species